rnacentral:Y_RNA from 1 species
GGCUGGUCUGAAGGUAGGUAGUUAUCUCACUUGAUUGUUCACAGUCAGUUACAGAUUGAACUCCUUGUUCUACUAUUUCGCUCCUGCACUUAACUACUCUAAA